AUGGACAGAGGAAAGCCACAGUGGGGUCUUCUGACACAGGGCACAGGGCAGUGGCUUGGACUGCUCAGGUUUCAGAGAGAACUGGAUGCAGGAUGCCAACGCGAUGGACCAGAUUCUUUGACUCAGAGUCACAUACAGUAAAGGAUCCCUUUGUCGUGUAUUAACAGGUCAUGGGCAACACUUUGAUCCUUCCUUGGUACAAGAUAGUACAAGAUAUUACCUUAGGAUAUUGAUUCUCAAAAAUAUCUGGGAACUUUUGUUUGAGAUUAAAAAACAUACAGGAUGCACAAUCAGGCAGUUACAUCUUAGUGGUGAGAAUUUUUGUUUGCUACCACUUAUAAUAUCUGCAGUCCUUCUUUUUUGGAUUCAUUUGCUGAAAUAAAUUCCCUAGUUAUUCUUUCAGAAAGGACGUCAUCGGGUAAACUUUGCCCAAUCACUCAUCGUUUUUUCACAUUAAAUUUGAGUUUGAACUGGUACUGGUAACAAACUAGUAUUCAUUUUCCCUGAGCACUUGGGAGAAUUGAUCCAAUGACUGGUGGCGUGUAGAAUGAAUCGCGAUGAAACGUCUCGUCCUACCUGCUCCUCAUUCCCUUUUCUGCCAACGAUUCAUCUUCAGAAGACAAGCAGAUGAGGAGACAAAACCUACUGAUGUGGGUACCCAAGCAGGAACCCCCCUCUUGCACCGGCGACUCAAGUGGGAAGAAGAAUUCACUGAGUUGAAAUGGAGUGAGAGCUACGAUGCUCUCAGAAUGUCCUUAAAAUGUGCUGCAAAGAAGCCUGGGUGAGUAGAAGAAAAUAAAAGGAAUGGUGGAUACAAGGAAAGGUUAAAAUGAGGUAGGAACUAAAUAUUAUACUGGCACUUGGGGUUACUAUUUAUGAAUUGUUACUUUCUGGCAAUGCUCUACUCUUUUGUAUCUUCUUUGGGACAGAAAAUUCCAUAAGAAAGACCUUUCCAGGAAGAGCUUGUCCCUAAGCUUAUGGACUCAGGGUUUGAACAAAGCGUCUCUUCCAAGACCUUGUGAAUAAUAUGCAUAUGGUCCAUAUAACUUCACAAAGUAAAGUUAAAUGAACGCAUUCUUUUCUUGCUAUUAGACCCCGUUUAUCGCACUAGCUGCUGGUGAUUUGAGCGCUCCUUUCCAAGCCUCUUGAGAGUUCUGCUCUAACAACACUGCCCCCUAGUGUUCUCUCGCUUUGGUGCAACUUCAUUGCAGAGUUAACUUAAUUGCAGAGUUCUGAAGCAGUUUAUGAUAUUCCAGGUCCAUCUUGUACACUUCCUUCCAUAGACCUGUAAUCAUCUAUUUCUUCAGGGAGCCUUUGAUUCCUUUUAGUGGAAAAUGGUUUUCUGAUGUGCUAUACACUUGACCUUUGAAGAAUACAGGUUUGAACUGCACGGGUCCAUUUAUAAGUGGAUUUUCUUCUGCCUCUCCCCCGCUGCCCCCACCCCGAGACAGCAAGACCAGACCCAUCUCUUCCUCCUCCUCAGCCUACUCAACGUGAGGAUAUGGAUAAAGACCUUUAUCAUGACCCACUCCACUUCCACUUAAUGAAAUAUGUUUUCUCUUCCUUAUGAUUUUCUUAAUCAUACUUUUUUUCUUCUAGCUAACUUUAUGGUAAGAAUACAAUGUGUGAUACAUACUACAUAUAACAUACAAUAUACGCGUUCAAUGACGAUGUUAUUGGUAAGGUUUCCAGUCAAUAGUAGAUUAUUAGUAGUUAAGUUUCUGGAGAGUCAAAAAUUAAACACGAUGACUGUGACCCUUUGGGGUUGGUUCCCCUAAACUCCACAUUAUUUCGGGGUCAACUAUUAUUUAAUCAGCAUGGUCAUAUUGAUGUCCAUGCAUAUUAAUACUUGAGACCUCAAUAGAGAAUAUGCCCAUAGUUCAGGGAUCUAUUGAUGUCUUUCUACACUGCCAGGUCACUAUCUCUGUCCCCUUCCCAGUCUGUGAAGAGUCUCUGCGUGUCUCUUUGUUGCCACUGUCUUGAGUCUUCUGGAUGCUGAUACAAGGCCAACUGAAUGUGCAUCGUCCAUCUGAAGUGCUCCUGUGUGAUUACUAGGCCACGGAACAGCCACAAACAUCACUCCUUCCUUUUCUCCCCUAACAGGCUUUGAGCCCUGAUUCUUCAUCAGGGUGGUAGAAGAGAAGUCUUAGAGAACCAUGACCCCCAUGGGAACAUAUUAAAAUGAUGGGGGAAUAUACUGGGAGGAAACAAUAGUUUGAUAAAAGCUUCCCAGUUGGUUCUAAUGGAACUCCUCAGGGCUGUAGUUGGAUCCUCUGCUCUGGGUAGAGACGGGCAGGGUGCCAUGGAAUUGGCCCCGGGUCCAGAUCACCUGGGCAUCCUCAGGCACAGGACUGGGAAUUGACUGACUGAGAUUUAAGGGAUAGGAGAAAAGAGAGAAAAGAAGGCAGGAGCCCAGGGAUGUAAUUUCUUUUUGGACCCAUCUUCUUUUUUUUUUUUUUUUUUUGAAAGCUAACAGAUUUAUCUUAAAAGCAUUUAUAGUUAUUCCUGCUUAAUGUGUAGCUAAGAAAUUCUUUCAACUCUAAACAGAAAACAAAGACUUUCAUUUUACAGGUAGAGAUAAAAGGCAUUGAAUGAAAAAGUUUGAAAGAGGUGGCAUUUGGGGUGAAAGUGUCUCCAUCAAAGAAAAACUGAUGACAUCAGAUCUGUGAUUGUUUUAAUAGAGGGAGAGAAUACAGGAAGGCAGAGGGGCUGGGCAGGGGGAUGUAAGAGAUAGGGAGCAGCAACUGGAUGCUGGAAAUGGUCAUAAACUGCUAAUUUCAUAAGUGUGUUUAUCUUCAUUUGUGCACAGAAAAAUAAAGGCACUGUGUGGGUAUAUUAAUGGUCUAUAUGAAUGCCAGGACUGGUACAGCCUCAGGCUCUAAGGAAGGAAGAUGGUCAGGUAUUUGGUAAGAUGAUUUGAAGACAAACAAGUGUCAAAGAACUGAUGGUCUGACUUGAGUCUUGGUGUAUGAUGUAAGAGCUCAGCAGAUUAUAAUAUUCAGGAUAAUUUCGGAGGAAUCCACAGAAGCUACAGUGUCCAGGGCAUAUUAGUAACUGAGGGUCACAUAAUUAAACAAAUAAUUCUUACAGAUGGUUCAUUUGUAAGUUAGUAGGCAUUUCUGCUAUAAGCAAAAAUGUUGUCAUUUUGACUUCAGAGAAAUAGACAACUUUAUAUUUCUGAGGCGCUUAUGUUUUCUCUAUUGUGGAUGAUGUAUCUUCCAUUACUAAUGAAGGAUCAUAGGAAUUGAGGUAAUUGAAACACAGUUCUCCUCUCUAUGGUAUUAAUAUUUUUCCCAAUGAUUGCUUUUCUUUUCCUGUUUCCUGGAUAUGACAGAGCACAUGGUAUAAAUACCGAACCGCUCGGGGAACAGCCACCCCCAAGGCCCUCUGCCUUCCUCCUGCUCUCCCGGGGAGCCCCUUCUUCCCCUUUCUCUUCCGAAUUAACCUGUUCUUCACACCUGGAUGUUAAGAUUAUUCAGCCCCUUUCCCCAGUCAAGGUUACUGUUCUAUUUUUAGCCUUGAGAUACAGAUGAAUUACACUACUAGAAUAUUCACUGAUCAAUAAUGUGAAAAAACAAAAGAGAGAAAUUAUGAGUCAGAAGAGGUAAAAUAGUGAGUCACCAGAGUACGUCUCUAUUCUAUUAAUUUCAACUGCACAGUCUAUAACAACCAGUGUGUGAGAGUUUCAGCCGUCAUCCAAAUAACAUAUGGGAAACCACAAAGGAAUUCAAGCUGCAGACAACAAGGCACAUUUAAGAGGUUACAGUAUUAGUGUUGAGCUUGGGGACAUAGAAUAGAGCAUUGAUUUCUGAUAAAUUAUUGGGCAUUGACAUUUUUGGCAUGGGCAUUUCUUUCUAGAUUAUGGUUCCAUAAAAAGUCAGUUUGGGCCCAUUGAUUGCCUCAGAGGGAAGUGUGUGUGUGUGGUGUGUGUGUGUGUGUGUGUGUGUGUGUGUGUUAGGUGGAAUGUGCUGGAUUUGGGAGGCGUAGUGGGAUGUUGGAAAUUUAGCUGUACAUGCCCAAUAACGUUAGCCUUUUAUAUUUUAAUUUAGGAUAUCUGGGCUCCAUUCUUCCCUGAUGCUUCCCAACCAUGACUUACCUUUCUUAGCGCCGUUGUCAUUCAAUCAGGAAUUCUCUCGAGCAGACCCGCUAGUGGCAUUCAGUGGAUCCCAGAAUAGAUUUAGCCUGUUGGGAGCACAAUGCAUGUUUUAGUCUCCUGGUCACAUACAAAUGAAAUAGGAGGGGGUGACAAAAUAUUGGAAUUUAGGAGGGCCCUAUGACUUGAUUUUCUUUUGCAUAUUAGACAGACUUCUGAGACGUUUGAAUCUUUGAAUUGUUAUGUUUAAUUACUUACACCGAAAAAGUCUAAGACUGAAUUCACUUUUUUUCUCUAAAUAUGUUUCCUUCUGAAUUUCUUUGUUGUGUUUUGGUGAUACUCUAUUCCUCAGCUGCCCAGUUUUCCAAAUUUUUAAAAUAUAGUUACCCAGUUCAAUUAUUUAUUCAACAAGUAUCUAUACUGCUGGCAUGUUGUGUGAGUCACAUACUGGGCACUCUGGGAUGGAGAGAUAGGUCAGUGCCCACCCUUGGGAGUUCACAAUUUAGCGGGUCCCCUUUUGCAUCCUCUCCCUCCUGUCCCUCCCGUCAAGUGCACCUGUGUCUUUAGCGUCUUCCUUCCCAUCCCUAUUGCAGCUGCUCUGAUAGGAGCCUUCUCCAUCACACCCGGCCCACAGCAAUCAAGUGCUCCAUGGUCUCAGGGAGCCUAAAAGCUACAGCUUCAAAAUCCAGUUUCUCACUCUCUAACCUCUUCCAGUAGUUCUCAACCUUGGUUCUACAUCAAAUGCAUUGGUAAUUUUUUUAAUCUGUCUGUUUUUGACACAGAUGCCCAGGAACCCUUUUGUAGAGGGCUUGGUUCAUAUGUAAUCUCUAAAUGGUGCUUUCCUUGGGCUUCCAGAUAAGAGACAAUUACUCAUUCCUCUGUGAGUCUAGUUGUUUGUACUUCACUUUUACUGAUUACAUUGGUAUCCCUGUGCCACUCUGUCCAUUCCACUAGACCAUGACAGCACUGAGGCCAAGAAAUGCUACCCUACUCAGCUUUCUGUAAGUAUUAGUUCCUUUUACCCCAUCUUUAAUGCCUAAUGAUGGACAUAAAUUCUUGCUACAUCUUCAUUUUAUCAAGUAUUCUUCUCUUGUCAUUUUGAUUACAGGGAAAAGAGCAACCAUGGGAGACUAGCAAAGCUCCUGCAUUCUGUUUGUCUUUUAGGGCCAGGGCAGGGCUAAAUUGUGUUUGAAAGAAGAGAAAAUGAGUUGUUCCAGUUUUCUCUUAGAAAAACUCCAAGAAGCACUUGAAAUUCCAGCAUUCUCUUCUCUCCAUGGGAAGCACCAUUUCAUUUCUCAUUUCUUCAUUAAUACUCUCUUUUCCUUGUCCCCAAGAAAACUACCACUCUAUCCUCACCAACCAGUAUAAAGUUACUUGUUUCUUGAUAAGAAUGGAAGUCACUCUAAGAGUGCUACUCCAGCUGUGGAACUUCACCUGGUUGAAUUUUUGCAAUCACAGUUGGAGGAGUGUUAAUCAUAGUUAUCACAAGCAGUCUAACUUAUCAACCCUUUUGAGUUACAUGUCCCUGGAAAAAUUAGUGCCUCUGUUCCCUACCCAACCUCUGGCCUUUUUUUUUUUUUUUUUUUUUGAGACAGGGUCUUGCUCUGUUGCCCAGGCUGGAGUGCAGUGGCACAAUCACAGCUUACUGCAUCCUUGACCCCCAGUGUUCAAGUGAUCGUCCUACCUCACCCUCUCAAAUAGCUGAGACUACAGGGAACUAGCACCAUACCUGGCUAAUUUUUAAAAUUUUUCUGUAGAUACAAGUUCUCACUCUGCUAUCCAGGCUGAUGUUGCACUCCUGGCCUCAAGUUAUCCUCCUACCCCGGCCUACUAAAGUGCUGGGAUUACAGGUGUGAGCCACUGCACCCAGAUACUUCAUGGAAUAAUGCAGUGUUCUAUGAAGUGCAAUGUUUAACUGAAUAAGAAACACAGUAAUUGUAUAGAAAUAGGGCUGUAGCGAGGAGUGAAUGGGAUAACACAGGUUAAAACUAUCAAUGUAGCACCUGGCCCAUGCUAAGCACUCAAUACAAGAAUAACCCUGGUAACACAUAUUAUCUUCAUCAUAGUCAGAUAUUUCGAAAAGACUCCCUGGGAAUAAUCAUGGACUUUGGAGCCUAGGACAGAGGCAGGGCUUCGUGCUCCCGGGGCAGCUCCAGGAGAUGCUGACUGGAAGGGUUGAAAGGUCAAGGACUGAAGAGUGGCUGAAAAUGCAGGUUUCUCAUACUUUAUGGAGAGAUAGAAAGCACCAGAUGACAGCCACCACACAUUUUUGUCCCCAUUGCUAUAAGAUGCUUCUAACCAUCGUAAAAUUAUGAAACACUGAAUUCCUUAAAAGUUGUCCACUUGCGGAUUUAUCUGAUGCACAGAACACUGGGCCCAGACUCUUGCCAGAAGAUGCCUUUGAACUGUUUGCUGCUCACCUUUUAGUGAAAGCUCUUGACACAAAUAUUAAAGAAAAGUGUUUAAAGGACGUGCGGUCAAUGCAUUCCUGACGGUGAGUCUUUCGUGGAUUGAAAGCUCUGAAGUCCCACACUGGAAAAACACUUCGAGAGACCUACACAGAUAAUGGUGUGUACAACUUCAGAGGCCUGCGCUGUCUCUUGAAGUGCAUAUUGAUGCCCUAGACGGUUCUGUCAUGAUAAAAAACAGGCUUUAGUUUUUUCCAUCUCUAAUCAAUUGGUAGUGAAGACCAAGAGCACUGUUUUGAAAUGGAUCUGAGCCCAGUUUGGUCUAAGCAGAAAAGAGUUCUAUGAUGGAUCCACACACCCUAAGUUGAGGUGAGAAAGCUGCUGGGCCAUGGGCUAUGAUUUUGGUAUCCUUACUCUGGAAAUUAAGGUAGACUACUAGCAAGUUGUGUAUGUUGACCACACACUUUCUAAUUUAUCCAGAACAUUGCUUCCAUUGAGUUGGACUUGGUCAUUAUAUCCUCAGUUUGCAUUCAGGGAAAAUUUUAAAAAGUUUCCCAUGACACCUGCCUUCACUUUUUUGUCAGAAUGUCAUCGAAAAACACUGGCCAUGUCAGAUAAAAUAUCCUUGUCAGACCUAAGUGUCAGGAAAAUCUUUGCUUCACUGAAGAAUUUUAUUCUUUCAGGACAAAAUAUGAAUGACAUAAUAUACAGUAUUCCUCUUUGCUUCUGCUUUUAGGAAUAUCAGCUUAAUGUCAAUAAUUGCAUAGCAUACUAUAACAAAAAUCAUACAAUGAUACUAAUUUUUAUUUAUAUCUCUAUCCAUGAAUCUAUCCCACUGUUGAGCUAACAAUUCUUAUAAGCCACUCCAAAUUCUUUGUGGAACAAAUCAAGAUAUAUAAAGGUAAACAAAUAAUAUUGUACAGAUGUUAAUAUUUUAAUUCUCCCAUGAAAAAUAAAAGUUCGCCUUCCUUUGGCUUCAGAAAAUUCAUUAAUUUUCCAGCUUUAAGACUGAAGAGUAAUGAACACAUGCUAUCAGCAGAUUUAAGUAUCUGACUAACGACAGUUCAAGCCUUCCCUUUCAUAUUCCUCUCCAGUAUGACUGAAUAACUUCUUUUCCCUAGAGACAGACAUUUAGCCUUAAAUUUUAUUAGAAGGAGAAAGAACAAAAAAUUUUAAAAUAUCAAAGGAAUAUAAAUCUACAGUGGUAUUCAGAGUUGUUCAUUUUUAAUAGAAAUAAAUUACUAGUUCAAACAACUUCUCCAAAACAAGUUUCCCAGCCCACCAAAGCAGCCGCUGGUGAGCAGCCUCACCUGUUAUCAUUAGUCUUUUCUUGUCACACUUCCCUAUUUAAGUGUGGAAUUGUUCCCAGUUCAAAGAUACAUGGGAGAGAAGUGGCUGGAUGGGUAGGAUGCACAGAAAACCUCGUGUAUAUUCUCUGGGAGAAGCUUCUGUAGAAGAAUCUAAGAGGCCACAGCAGAUGACCUCUGGGGAGGUUUGUGGCUAUCAUCAUGAAGAAAGGCUUAACUGUUACACAAAUCUUUGCAAUACUUUUUUUCUGAAUUUCUUAGGCCCAGAAGGCUCUAUUGCUCAAGUUCAUUUUAAAGCACACUGGUUUCAAAACCUGCAUAAGUGUUCACUGAAUUAAAAAAAUUCUUUCUCAAGCUCUAGGUAUGCUGACAAGUUCGGUAGACCGGAAGUGUGAUACUUCUACCCGAGAGCCUCCCACAGAGUCAGCACCUCAAGGGAGAAGGCAGGGGCCCUGAGCUCCGUCCCGGGUCAGUGCCUUACUUCCUGUGUGAUCUCUGCAAAGUUAUUUAGUCAACCUCUCAGUCUCAGUUUUCUCAUACAUAAAGUAGGGAUAAAAGUCAUAUCCAACUUGCAGAUUGUGCAGAUUCAAUGCAUGUCAUGUAAAGCACAUGGAGUGUACUAAAUGCUCAAUAAAUACCAGUUCCCUCCCUUCACCUUUCAGCCCCUCGUCUCCCCAGCAAUAUUUUCAGAUGAAGAAGAGGUGAGAAUUUUCAGUCUUAUUUACACCAAAGAUCACGUCUCGGUAGUCAAAAUAAAAGUGGCCGUAUAAUCUAAGGACAUAAGUGAGUUAUGUGGUCUGAGAACAGGACGGAAUAAUGAAAAGCAGGCUUGUGCUGAAAAGCUGGAAAUAUGCUGCACAUCAUGUCUGCAUCCUUCCCUCACGCCUCCUUCUCUCUCCCACAGGGUAGCAGAGCAAAGAAAGUAGAACUCAGGGCAGGGCUUGUGUCUGUUUUGUUCACUGGUGUACCCCAAGUGUGGAGAAUCCUAUAGAUUUGAUGCUCAAUAGAUAUUUGAUAAACUGAAUUAAAUACUCAGAAAGAAAGCAGAAAUGUUUUGGGACUUCAUAUCCUGUUUUCCCUGCAGUUCAGCAUAAAUAAAAUAAUUAUUUCUAACAAAAAAGUUAAAGAAAGUCUUUAAUUUUCUACCACAGGAAAAGGUAUUAGAUUUGUAUUCAUUUUCCUCAAGCACAUACCCCAAAAAAAUCCCCCCAAACAAAUAAACAUCAGUAAACGAUUUCUGGAAACCCAAUUUAGCAAUAGGUUACAAAUAAAGCAAAGAGUGCCCCUGCUCAAACUGCUGUUUAUCUUGCAAGGGCCUUCCAGGGUGGAGCUCUCUCACCCUCUCUGGCCCAGCCUUAAACUUCACUCUAAGUAAGCAGAAUACAGCUGAGACAAGAGGAAGUAGUUCAUUUGCAUAAUACAAAGACACCCACGUGAAUGGUUUGCCACUUAUCAAUGUUCGCUUUGCUCAUUAGUGAAACAAUCUACCAGUAAGUCUACCUAAAGUCUAAUAUGCUAUACUUUUUUUCCCCCAGAAAGUUGGUCAAUGGAGAAGGCAUCAGUUGGCAACAUUCGGUUGGACCAGUUAAUGAUGGUUUGCUUUUCAAAAGAUACUAGCAGAGAGCAUUAAUCUUAUCACUCUCUUUAAGUAUAAUCUGGACGCAGAGAAUCACUCACAUGCUUUAAGUUAGGUUGCAAAGUUUUGGGGGAAAAUGUCAGAGAUUUUGUUUUGUUUUUGGAUGUCUGGCAUCGGAUAAGCAAUGGAUAUUUUGGGAGCCCAAAUAUCCAUUGUUUCUCUGGAUACUAAAAAUGAUUAUAUUAAUAGAAAUAGCAGGGACUGUGAAGAUUGGCUGUGACAAGUGAUGCUGUGGUUUACUCUGACUUAGAUUUGCUUCCAUGGAGGUUUGACUGUGAGAUGGAGAUCUGUGGGGAGUUCCACUGGGUCGUGCUCUGGGCAAAACCACUAUGACAGCAGUGAAGGAAGAAGGAUCAGGUGGGAGGGGCAUGUUGGAGUCCUGAGCCGGGAUGCCCUUCAGAACUGGCCCAAACUGAAGCAGUGGGGAUGAGUCUCAGUGGCCAGACAUUGGAUGUGGGCUGCCCAGGGAGGACGCAUGACCUCGUGUGAGGCAGCUCCCUUUGGCCAAAGGCAAUUUUCCAGAAGGGAUGCAGCUGAGGGCUGUCAGCUUCCACCAAUUCCAGCAGCUGGCAGAAAGAGUACCUUGGCUCUGAAGGAGUAUCUGGGUCACCAACUACAGCAUCCACUAAAACUGGCAAGUUUAAAUAAAAUAUUUAGGAAUGAGUACUUCCUAUGUAACCUGCAUAUAAAGGACAUUUAACAAAUAUUUGUCAAAUGAAUAAAUGAAUGGUUAUUAGGAUAGAAGAAUGAUAAGUAGUGGAUUUAAACCCCAACAGAAGGGAUUUAAAUAAGGCUAAAGACAAAUACAGAACUAUAAUAAUGAACCACUCAGAGCAGAAGAACUUCCAGUCUAGAUAGCUGUAUUAUGACUUCAUCAUUGGAUUUAGUUACUCGAAUUCUGAAUUUAAGCCUUACAGCAAAAGUAGAGGGAAAAGAUGGAAAAGGGACUCCGAUUUUGGGGAUCAAGGUUCAACAAGUGAGGGUCCCCCACUCACUUGGAAAGGGCUAUCAUUCUACUACAUUAGAAUUUGCCAGAAAAACUCAAGGCUUUAAAAAGGAAAUAAUUAGUCUGUGUGAAGCAGCUGAAAGAAGUGAAAAACAUCAUUGAUUGAAUUUUUCCAAAAUUAAUGACUCUUCCUGCUUGGAGCCCUUUCAACUAAGGUAAUCAACAUCUAAAGUUCUUGUGAAGGUCAUUUCUGAGCACAGUCUAUUCUGCUCCAUCGAAUGAUCCAGUUCCUCUCCGUCUGAGUGUCUGGGCAUGCUCAUCAUGCAGCCAGCUAUCUAAUCACAAAGACAUUUUCCGGACACUACACAUUAGAAGAUGCCCCUUACUUUAUAAAGUUAUAUAAAUUAGAAUCUAUUUUAUCCAGGGGCUUAUAUGGUUAAUUUCAAGGAUGCUUUGUCUCCUUUUCUCAGUGGUCUUCAUACCAAAAUAGAUUCUAACACUUAGCCUAUAAACACUUCCGUUGCUUAAGAUUUAUCUGAUUAAAAGCUUAUAAAUACAUAUUUUCAUAUAUUUACAAGAUAUAAUUUUUUAUGCAAAAGAGUCUUUUCUUAAAAUGAAAAGUCCUUUUAGUUUUCAUUACGCAAAUGUAUAUCUUCCAGACUUGGCUUUACAACUCUUCAAUAUCUUUGGGGAAGAAUAUUCUGUUCAUAUAAAGCAAAUAUAACUUAUUGGCACCUCACGAAUUUGUUUUUGUAGCUUAGGAUAGUCAGGUUAUUUGGGGGAAUUUUUUGUUCUAAUGAUUAAAAUAUUUUGUUCUAAUUAUUAGAAUAUAUCAUUUAACUAGAUUGCAGGAUCAAUCUUUAACCAGGGUCCCUGGCUAUGCCUGUCCAGGGAAUCUAGGAAAGGAGACACAUAGGUGCGCGCGCACACAUGCGCGCACACACACACACACACACCCCCUUCCCUCCCAAAACCUGAAAUUUCACCAAGAACAAAGUAUAUGACUUAUAAAGGGCAUAUAAUUUUAUAUAUUUCAGAGAGACAUAAUACAUCAAUCAAUACAUGUAAGAUUUACAUUGGUUUGAUCUGGAAGGGUGGGACAACUCACCCUUUAUGUAGAUUUAAACAUAUUCUGAUUGGCAGCUGGUUGAAAGAGUUAUUAUCUAUAGAAAGGAAUGUCUGGGUUAUGAUAGGGGAUGUGAAGACCUAGGUUUUAUCAUGCAGAUGAAGCCUCCAAGUAGCAUGCUUCAAAAGACUGUAAAUGUUUCUCCCCAGACUUAAAGUUUGUGUUGAUGUUAAUGCUGGAGGGGUAUCGUGAGACUGUCCAACCCCCCCAGUUCCUGUCAUGGCCUGAGCCAGUCUUUCAGGUUAAAUUUUAGAGCACCUGGCUGAGGAGGGAGCCCAUUCAAAUGGUUGUGGGAGGCCUUUGAAUUUUAUUUUUGGUUUAUCGUUUCAAGGUUUAGCUAUAUGAAUAAUAAUUCUAUGCUUUUAAAAUGUUAAUUCAUUCAUUCUACAGACUUUCUGAGUACCGUUAUGUGCCAGGUCCUGGGCUGAGGAGGAGGACCUCAUAUAAAUCAGGACUUGAUAUAGUUUGGAUAUAUGUCCCCAUCAAAUCUCAUGUUGAAAUAUAAUCCUUGGUGUUGGAGGUGGAGCCUGUGAAACCGCCUUUGCAAAAAUUAUAACUGAGGAAAUUAUGACAGGGAAAGAGACCUGACCUAACCAGCUCCACCUUGCUUCUAACCUCUCAGCUGUCCUUGUUUAUUCCUGGGUGUAGGCCAAACUAACCUUGGGAAGGAAUUUAGUUCAUAGUUUAACUUUGAAAUAAAGAUGAUAAUAAACCCUCUACUUACCUGGGGACCAGUCUGCCCUUGUAGGACUAACAAAUUAGUUACAAGAUUAGAAAUUACAGUUAGGAGCCAUACAGCCUCUGGUUGCGAGUCUGAACCUCCCCAGAUUGCUCCUGGGAAUAGCAUUACUGUUGUAAAGCCUAAGAUCAGUGCUGGAGAUACUUUGCAGACCCUGUGUUCUGUUCGGAUGGACCAGCUGACGCCACCCAGACUGGUAAUCUGGCUCAGCCAGAUCUGCAGUCCCACCUAUGAACAGUAGACAGCAAGAAAAACUCACUUUGAUGCCUUAUGAUUUCAUCUCCAACCCAAGCAAUCAGCACUUCCUACUUCCUGAGCCCCUACUUGCCAAAUUAUCCUUAAAAACUCCGAUCCCCAAGUUUUGGGGGAGACUGAUUUAAGUAAUAAUAAAACUCCAGUCUCCUGUACAGACGGCUCUGUGUGAAUUACUCUUUUUGUAUUGCAAUUCCCUUGCCUUGAUAAAUCAGCUCUGUCUAGGCAGUGGGCAAGGAGAAUCCACUGAGCAGUUAUACCUGGUGGGAGGUACUUGGGUCAUCAGGGCAAAUCCUUCAUAGCUUGGGGCUGUCCUCCACACAGUGAGUGAGGUCUUGUGAGAUCUGGUUGCUUAAAAGUGUGUGGUAUCUCCCAUUGUCUCUCUUUCUCUCUUGCUCCUGCUUUUGCCAUGUGACAUGCCUGCUCUUGCUUCACCUUCUGCCAUGAGUAAAAGCUCCCUGAGGUCUCCCCAGAAGCCAAGCAGAUGCUGGUGCUGUGCUUGUACAGCCUCCAGAACCUCAAGAGAAUUAAACUCCUCUUUUUUGUAAAGUUGCCCAGUCUCAGGCUGGAGUACAAUGGCACGAUCUUGGGUCACCACAACCUC